rfam:Rhodobacteraceae bacterium HIMB11 HIMB11_contig13.2, whole genome shotgun sequence.
ACGGCCAGAACCUUGGCGAUAUAGGGGAUCAGUGGUAGGUUCAGGAUCAAAAGCACCACGUUUCCGAUAUACAUUGAAAUGAUCACCGACCAGAAAAUCUGUGGAUCAUCCACCAUCAAACGUGGGCC